rnacentral:lncRNA from 1 species
CAGGCACACACAGGCUGCCGCCCACUCAGACUUUAUUCAAAGACCACGGGGGUACGGGUGCAGGAAGGGGAGGAGGGGCUGGGGGGAGGCCCAAGGGGCAAGAAGCAUGGCCACCGAGGCUCCAGCUUAACGGUAUUUGGAGGUCAGCACGGUGCUCACAGAAGCCAGGAACUUGUCCAGGGAGGCGUGCACCGCAGGGGUGAACUCGGCGGGGAGGUGGGCGGCCAGGGUCACCAGCAGGCAGUGGCUUAGGAGCUGUGCAGAGAAGAGGGUCAGUGGGGCCGAGGGCCCAGGCCCGCAGCCGCCGCCUGCGCUACACCUCCCGCAACCCGCGUGAUCCUCUGCCCUGCGAGGAAGGCGCCAUCUCGCCCCUCGACCCAGAUCGCUCCCGGCCCGCCGCUCACCUUGAAGUUGACCGGGUCCACCCGAAGCUUGUGCGCGUGCAGGUCGCUCAGGGCGGACAGCGCGUUGGGCAUGUCGUCCACGUGCGCCACGGCGUUGGUCAGCGCGUCGGCCACCUUCUUGCCGUGGCCCUUAACCUGGGCAGAGCCGUGGCUCAGGUCGAAGUGCGGGAAGUAGGUCGCUCAGGGCGGACAGCGCGUUGGGCAUGUCGUCCACGUGCGCCACGGCGUUGGUCAGCGCGUCGGCCACCUUCUUGCCGUGGCCCUUAACCUGGGCAGAGCCGUGGCUCAGGUCGAAGUGCGGGAAGUAGGUCUUGGUGGUGGGGAAGGACAGGAACAUCCU